rnacentral:rRNA from 1 species
GGUUGCAAUCGUGUUGUCAUUAAUUCUGACAAUAUGGAAGUCACUGAUACCAUGAAGAAUGGAGGACAUUCAGCAGGAGCGGCGGCUGCAGUUUUUGAUGAUUGUUAGUUUUUAGCGUGUGAUUUUCCUCUCACUGGUUUUGAAUGUUGUAAUAGGGAAGCAAAUAAAGUAGCUCGUGAACUUGCCAGAUUAGCUAGAUUUUCUGAGACAAUGGGAUGGUUUGAGGAGCCUUUGGUCGAAAUUGUAAAACCUCUAAUAGACGAUGUAACCGUUAUUUCUAAUUAA